rnacentral:lncRNA from 1 species
UUCCACUCAGAUACGAUCUAACGGACGAUCCAUUCUGAUCUUCAACUACUCCAACACGGUCUAAUGUACGACCCAGUUGGACCUUCACUUCUCAGGUACUGCCUAGCAUACGGUCCAUCCUGAUUCAUCUCAACAUAUGACUCCUUCAACUCAGAUACGAUCUAGCGUACGAUCCAUUCUGACCUUCAAUAACUCAAAUACAGUCUAAUGUAC